AAAUGAAGUUAAAACAUUAGUUAUGCUACAGUAUGUCCCUUUAAGUAAAAUUAUAGCAGAGGACUGUAGUGUUUUUAGGUGUGAGGUGGAUGCUGUGUAUUAGCUGGUGGUGUUGGUGCCUGCAGGCAGUCCUCGGUUGCCCAGGAAACACAGAUGGUGGAUGAAGGGCGCAUACAAAAGACCGUAAACCUGUGGCAGCAGCUGGAGACCGAGACCACUGAUUAAUUCAAGUCUGUGCAGUCUCGCUUAGUUAAAGACGUCGCUGUUCUCUUUAAUACCCCUCCAUCCAUUUCCUUUGUCCCGGGGCUUCCGUCUCCACUUUACCCUGCUUUCCCCGGACUGGACUCCCGUCAGUGCGCAGCUGUUGUCGGCACUCCCACAUCUGCUUGUCUCAGCUCGGCAGCCAUAUAGACGACGUUCAGCAGCCGUGGCUUGUCUUUUAAUGCGUAGCGGGGAAGGUCCAGGAAGCGACCAUGCCUUUUACUACGGGCGUAUUUGCCCUCAACAUUGAAAAAGAAGAGGGGGGAGAAGAAGAUGUGAUCUUUUCGCAACGUUUGAUGCUGCGGGACAGGUGCGGGAUGGAGACCUGGAGAUCACUGGUAACCUUGGGGUUGGUGUUGCAUGGACAUCAUCUACAGAGCUGCUGACAUGUCACCAGUCAGGACGCUGGGAGGAUCCAACAGCAGGACAGGUUAUGUGUACAGGCUGGAUUACCUUUUGUAAAAUCAUGAGGGAGGUUCAUUUUCACUGGCAUGCAAUAUCAGAGGGAGAAUUUAACAGCAUUACUCAGUUGGUUAGAUACCUGACAUCAAUGAAGCUUAUCUCAAGUGACUUAUCAGUGGGUGUAUUUCAGUUUCAUUUGUCUCUAAGUAAAAAGCAGUAAGAAGGAACAAUAAAUUGAAAGAACAGUCAUUCCCUGGGGUAUCUUGGAAGGACAGUUGGGUUGCGUCCCACUUUUCUGCUGCUUUGUGUUGUGUGUUCCUCUCCAGUUACACUGAUGAAAAGGCAGAUCGGGGCUCGCACUGGACCUCUUUCUACACCUGGUCGGCGUCGCAUCAUCGCCCUCUGUCGUGCUGCCUUCAAAGACUGCUGUCAUGUCACUUCUCCUGCAGUGACUGACGCAUGGUGCCAUUACUGCUGUCCCCUACCUUCAGAGGGAGAGGAUCCAUGUUCAAGCGUUUCCACCAAGAGAUGACUUCUGCUGCCUCUGUGUAUCAGCGAAAAAGAGCUUUGAAGAGUUAAAAAUGCCACCACUCCUCCGUAGUCAGUGUCAGCGUGAUCAGAUUUAGCAGGAAGGUAUUUUCACAGGCAGUGUUUUGCAUCCAAAAUAAUUUGCUGCAGUGUUCUUUUCGGUCUCAAAUGCGUGUAUUUCUCCCAGGCUGUGAGUAACACUUAAUAUAGCUUCAUCCACUCCCACUCUCAUUUAUUUAUUUAUUUUUUUAUGGCUGAUCAAAAACACUGACACUGCAGCCGUCGAACACCUCUCACACUUGCUUUCUUCAGCUGCUGUGUGCAGUGACCUCUCCGCUCUGUUGCCUUGGUUACCCUGUCCAACACUUUAGUCACUUCUCCCCUGUAGAAGACACUUUCAGUUCAUCAGAAGCUGUGUUUUAACAGUGCUGUUGCACUCUUGUGUGUUAACUUCUCACCGCAGCUAACAUGUAUCUAUGCCACAUCCAGAACUGGAAAGCUUGAAUAUUUUAAUCCUGUCAUGUCGCCGCUUAAGUGUGUGAGGAUAGUUUUCGCACAUUUGACGAUGUGUAAUUCACACAGUAUGUUUUUGUUUGUCUCUUAAUUUGGAUUUGAUACAGACUAUUUUAAUCUACUAUAGACGGUACAUUCUCUUUCUGGUGUUAUGCGUGGGUGUGUUUGUGUGUCUGCGUGAGUGCAUGUGUUUGUAUGCAUGUGCUCUAUUUGUGUGCGUGUGUGUGUGUGUGUGUGUUCCUUCCUGUAAAUGUGCAUGUGUAUUCCGUCUGUCUGAUAGAAACGUAUUUGUAAUGGGCCUGAAGCUGUAAGCUGCUUUACAGUGAUCUUCUCCUAGCUGCAAACUUUUAAAAAUGCCUGAAGCUCUUCUUUUAGCCACUGGAUGUACCAGACAAGGGAUAAAAAAAUAUUUACAAAUGAUUCUUAGCAUUCAUUACAACCUCAUUGAAGUACCAGUUGGGUGGGAAUUCCUUGUGAUUUAGAUAAUCACAAGAAUGGCGCUGGAAAUUAAUGGUGUGUAGUUUUCUAAAUGAUGCCUGCUGGCCUUAAUUAAACUGUCCCGAUGCUUACAGCCCCAUCAUCUGAUACUUAAGUAAAUUACAGCAAAUGCUAAUAAUUAUGUGCAAAUAGCUUUUUACCCAGGUCUGGAUUGUACUAACAGUAUCUCACUAAUAUCUAACAGUACUAAUGUCUGCUAACAGUCGGAUGAUUACUAACCUGUAAUGCUGAUGGCUGGCCUGAUUCUCUCUAACCCAUUGACUAACCCUCUGCUUUAUGCCCGCAGUCUGAUGCACACACUCUUCUCUCAUGAUCCUGCAAUCCUUCUUCUAGAAAUGACCUUAGAUUAAUCAUUUAAGAAAAAAAUAGAAUGGGAAAAAAAAAAGCUAUAUUGAGCAUGUCAAGAAGGGUUUCAGGACUUGGGAAGGGGAAAGUUAUUAACCACAAGAUGAAAAGAGGAGCAGACACAGCUGCUGAUAUUAAACUGGGUUGACCACAUACUUUCAAAGAAUCCUUACAAAACCGAUUAAGGUCUGAUUUCAAAUGAUAUUACACACAGUGUGCCACACUUCACAGGCUAAAUUCACAUAUUCACUGAUCAGUUUUGUGGUCUCCACCCGUGCACUGUGUGGUCAACCCUUUGCAGGUGAGUGCCUGGCUUGUCGUCACCACGGGUAACGCAGUGAGACAGCGAGCCAAGCAAACCCCAGCUCCGCUACUAACUUCUUAUGGUGAUGAUACUAACAGCGGUGCGGCUGCAAAGGUCCACCUGUUGCUCUUACUAACAUCUCUGUUCUCUCUGACUGAAACACUAUUUCACUCCUGAUGUUUCUUUGCUAAUCUUUAAUUUGAUCAAAGCAUGCCUUGCAGUACUGGUGAUGUUCAUUAAAUCACAUUACAUCCAAGCUUUUAUCCAAAACAUCCUCCAGUGUCAAGGGUAUAUGCUUUUCUUUUUAUCAAAGAGCAGUCCUUUAAAGAAACACAACAGAAGUCCUUAUAAUUAAGCUUGACAGUUUUGUUCUCUUGACAAGCUACUAACAUCUCCUAAAGUUAAAUUAACAUUUACUAACCUGAGGAGCUUUUAAUAGCUCUCUGCAAACUAACAAACUAACCCACUAAUAAACUAAUAACCUAACAAAAACUAAAACCACUAACUUUGUGCUGAGUGGCGGAAUUAGUGAAGCACCCUGAUUUUGAGGAGUUGCAUCACUUCUUGAAUGCACUAACAGAGUUUUUAUGGAUUAACGACACGAUUGAAUGUGCCUGUCUGUGUGUGUGUGUGUGUGUGUGUGUGUGUGUGUGUGUGUGUGUGUGUGUGACAGGGAGAGAGCACAAAGAAAGAGCAUGCAAGUGUGUGUUUGCCCAGAAUGUGACGUGUGAUGAGCAACCACCUGAUUUUGUUCUCUCAUAUUCGUCAGGUUAUUUUUAGCCAAAUGUAUUCACGAUUAAUCUUUCAGCCUAGGUGAACACAAGGAUACCUUUUAAACAUAGCUAUCAACCUUGAACCUCUUAAACAGUAAACUGUGUGGAAUUUUCAUGCGUGUAAAGAAAAAUGAAUUAAAUGUACACAGUAUUUUUGUACCUUAUUCCUAAUUUAUCAGUUGUCUUUACUAUGUGCUUUUGUAAUAAACAAU